AUGGGAACGCGAAGAACCUUACCUACUCUUGACAUCCAGAGAACUUAGCAGAGAUGCUUUGGUGCCUUCGGGAACUCUGAGACAGGUGCUGCAUGGCUGUCGUCAGCUCGUGUUGUGAAAUGUUGGGUUAAGUCCCGCAACGAGCGCAACCCUUAUCCUUUGUUGCCAGCGGUCCGGCCGGGAACUCAAAGGAGACUGCCAGUGAUAAACUGGAGGAAGGUGGGGAUGACGUCAAGUCAUCAUGGCCCUUACGAGUAGGGCUACACACGUGCUACAAUGGCGCAUACAAAGAGAAGCGACCUCGCGAGAGCAAGCGGACCUCAUAAAGUAUGUCGUAGUCCGGAUUGGAGUCUGCAACUCGACUCCAUGAAGUCGGAAUCGCUAGUAAUCGUAGAUCAGAAUGCUACGGUGAAUACGUUCCCGGGUCUUGUACACACCG
rnacentral:rRNA from 1 species